GAUGAACGCUGGCGGCGUGCCUAAUACAUGCAAGUCGAGCGAACGGACGAGAAGCUUGCUUCUCUGAUGUUAGCGGCGGACGGGUGAGUAACACGUGGAUAACCUACCUAUAAGACUGGGAUAACUUCGGGAAACCGGAGCUAAUACCGGAUAAUAUUUUGAACCGCAUGGUUCAAAAGUGAAAGACGGUCUUGCUGUCACUUAUAGAUGGAUCCGCGCUGCAUUAGCUAGUUGGUAAGGUAACGGCUUACCAAGGCAACGAUGCAUAGCCGACCUGAGAGGGAGGACGGCCAGACUGGAAGUGAGACACGGCACAGACUCCGACGGGAGGAAGCAGUCGGGAAUCUUCCGCAAUGGGCGAAAGCCUGACGGAGCAAAGCGGGGUGAGUGAUGAAGGUGUUAGGAUCGUAAAACUAUGUUAUUAGGGAAGAACAUAUGUGUAAGUAACUGUGAACAUAUUGACGGUACCGAAUCAGAAAGCCACGGCUAACUACGUG
rnacentral:rRNA from 1 species